GGAGAAUUGGCUGCUGGCGGGCCCGGCCUGGCGACGGGUGGUGGCUGCGGGCCCAGCCGUGGCGAAGUGGCGGCGGGCCCAGCGGAGGGCCAAGGCGGUGAGGCGGCAGCGGGCCAAGGCCCAAGGCGCUGCUGCAGCAGAAAAUGCUAAGCUUCACAUGGCAAAACUGACAAUCUGCCAAGGAAACCAUUAUCACAGAAGCAAGGGUUUGUGCUGCAUAUUGAUAACAGCUUUGAAGGUCAGCAGAGAGGAACAGAAGGUACCUAAAGAAGACCAAGGAUGACACUUGCUCUCAGAUUUUGGAGGACACCCAGCACUCACGACUCACCAUGAAUAACAGAUACAUCCAUUGACAACAGGAACAGUCCACACACAUACCCACUGGUUUUGGAACCUUUUCCCCAAACAUAAAAGUGCAGGCAAGAACCUGGAAGCAUCUCAGUACACUCUUGGGAGAACAGCCACAAUAGGAUCUGCUGAAAACCAAAACGGUGAUCUUGCAACACAAUCUUGCAAAAAACGAAAGAGGGAAUUGUAGCAAGGAGAAGUUUAGAGAUGCUGGAAAACAAUGAAAAUGGAGUUAAAUAAGCUUUGUUCUGCCUUUGCAACGUCGUGGGGAAUUAAGCAUUCCAUGAAAGCUGCUUUUAUUUAAAACAGCAUGUUUCACUGAAUUUCAUUUUAUGACUGGUUGCUGAUUUUAAUGUUUUAUUGUUUUAGUUUUUGUGAUCCUAACAUUAUUGUUUUAAACUGCUGUUGGACUCAGAUGCAGGAUAGAAACAUUAGAAAUAAAAUAAAAUAUGUAAACCUA